rnacentral:rRNA from 1 species
GAUGAACGCUAGCUACAGGCUUAACACAUGCAAGUCGAGGGACCGGCGCACGGGUGAGUAACGCGUAUCCAACCUACCCAAUACUCAGGCAUAACCCGUUGAAAGACGGACUAAUUCCUGCUGGUAUUGGAUGGGGUGGCGUUUGAUUAGUUUGUUGGUGAGGUAACGGUUCACGAAGACUUCGAUCAGUAGGGGUUCUGAGAGGAAGCUCCACCACAUAGGAACUGAGACACGGUCCAAUCUCCUAUUGGAGGAAGCAGUGGGGAAUAUAGGUCAAGGGAUGCAAAUCUGAACCAGCCACGUAGCGUGCAGGAUGACGGCCUAUGGGUGGUAAACUGCUUUUAUGUGAGAAUAUUUAUCAAAUGAAUAAGGACCGGCUAAUUCCGUGCCAGCAGCCGCGGUAAUUC